CCUUUUAUUUCAUUUCAUUUUGCGCCGUUGCCUGAUGUUUUGCGCUUAUUUUUCACUGUAUGGAGCAUGUAAUCACUUCCAAACUCUAGAAAUGCACACGUCCACUCCAUCCACAUUGUACUCCGUCCAUACCCACCUCCGCCACGUUCGUCAAAGUGAUUUUUUUCCACUUUCAGCUAUUUUCUGUCUCCGUAUCCAAGGACGUCGGCCAUGAUGUCGCAAGCCGGAAAUUACGUUGUAGACAAUCACAUCCACACAACAACAUUCGGCCCUGUCAAAACCACACGUCUUAAACGCCUGCUAACCCUUGAAAAGUGUUUUCAAGCUGUAAACAAGUAUGGCCGGGCUAUUUUCUGUCUCCGUAUCCAAGGACGUCGGCCAUGAUGUCGCAAGCCGGAAAUUACGUUGUAGACAAUCACAUCCACACAACAACAUUCGGCCCUGUCAAAACCACACGUCUUAAACGCCUGCUAACCCUUGAAAAGUGUUUUCAAGCUGUAAACAAGUAUGGCCGGGCUAUUUUCUGUCUCCGUAUCCAAGGACGUCGGCCAUGAUGUCGCAAGCCGGAAAUUACGUUGUAGACAAUCACAUCCACACAACAACAUUCGGCCCUGUCAAAA
rnacentral:lncRNA from 1 species